rnacentral:rRNA from 1 species
CCUGAAUUCGAAAGGGGUUGGAUACAGGUGACUCCGGCUCUUCAGGCGGCAGUCGGCUUGACGUUGCCGGACUCCCCCCCUGUAAAAAGGGGGGAUCGGUCUAUGGCUCGACGCUCGGUCGAUUGUGGGGUGCUCUCGGAGCUGGAGCGGUGCAAUUCCUCCCUAGUAGAAACGUCGCGACCCGUUGGGUGCCGGUCACAGGGCCCGUUUUGGAAGGCAAGACCGUUGCCGUCCCGGGGGAACAAACUUUCUCCCGGGCGCGCGCGGACUCCCGGUGACCCGGCCGGCUGCCCGACGGAAUGACCAGAGGAGUCGAUCCGCUGAAUGAGAAAAACACUUUGGAUGUGCAGCGUCCGGCCCGGCGCCGACGCGUGCGGGGUGCAGGGUCAGGCGUGCCAAGCCACGGCCCCGGCCCCCGCUGCGUUAGUCGGUUGGAAGCCGGUGUCCUCGGACUGGAUCGCAAACUCCCGUCUGCGACGAUCAUCUUCGGAUGAUCUCCCGC